ensembl:lncRNA
GGGAGCGGCAACGCGGGGUAGUGUCUUGCCGUACACUCCUCCCUCCCCCAGGAGGAGGUGUCCCGGAGAUCCCCUCGUGGGCUUGGAGGGGCCUGUGAAGCUGAGAAGUGCCCCAAGCUGACUUGGCUCUGCCACCAACUCGUUGUAUGACCUUGGGCAAGUCACUUCCCUCUCUGGGCCUCAUUUCCCCCAUUUGUAAAGCGAAGCCUUUGCAGGCAGAUGUGCAAGUUCUUCCCCAGGUGGAGCCUCAGUUUCCAUCUCAGGGCCCUGAAGGCACUGAGGUGCUUUUUGAGAUUUUAGGCCUAAGUUGCAGAGUGGCAGGGAGGUGUGUGUGUGUGUGUGUGUCUGUCUGUCUGUCUACAGGAUGGUCUGCAGAGUAAGGAGAAGAGUUGGCUCUGGGGGCCCAUCCAGGAAGGGUCUGGGUAAACCCAGAUUAUAGUGGGGUGGAGUGUGCUUGUCUUGGUCCUCCAGGAUCCUAGAGCCUUUGAGAUGGGGAAGUUUUAUAUAGGUCUCCAUAGAGACAGAAGAGGAAGGAAUCCUUGGAGCCUCUUGGGGUUUUGAUUGAAAUUUAGGCCCAAAAGAGUUCAGGUGGACUAGGAGGAGGAAGGGGAACAUUUAUGGUGCUCCUACUAUGUGUCAUACCUGGUUUAGGCAUAUGUUCUUAUUUAAUUUUUACAGCUACCCUUGAGAAUUUGCACAUAAGGAAACUUAAAUUUCAGAGGAGUUAAGUAACUUGCCCAAGGUCACACAGUAAAGUGCAAUGCUUACCAACACGAAGGUGUUUCCUUUGAGAAUCAUUGAGCCAGGGAGAAUUCACUGUCCACUUAAAGGAAGUUUGCUUUGUCACACAUUGGGGGAGAGGUCGGGUCCUAGACACUUGAACUGACUUUUGAAAAAAAAUUCAUUUUACUGAAGUAUAGUUGAGUUACUUGAAUUCUGGCAUGGGGACAGGCUGGGUCUUGAUCUCUAGACAGUAAAUUGUAACCCUUUGUUCAGCCUGUGAGUUGAAAAGGACCAUUUCUAAAUUGUAAAAGUCACAUUGAAGUGUGUCAGAACCUCAGCAAACUCAGUUUGAAUCCUUGCUGUGUGGCCUGUACAAGAAAGUUCACCAACUAUUGGUGCAUAGACUUGAUUCUCAAUUCAGAGUUGAUGCCAGGCUAGUAACUUUUUCUUUUCCCCAAAAAGGCCAAGUUUUCCUGGGAUGGAUGAAAUUCCGUAUUUGUUAGUGCAAAUUUCUUUUGAUUGCCAGGGUGAAAGUUUCAGUAGCCGGACUCUUGAUUAAGUGAAAUGCUCCUUUAUUUGUGCUUCCUGUUAUUUGACUUCUAGAUGAUGAAAAUUGUGGACCUAGAGUGGGUACUAUAAAUUGCAGCCCGAAAUUUUUCCAAGCCUCAGAGCUUUUGGUUAAUCAAAAUGGUAGGACGGCAGUGUGUAUUGUACUCAUAUGUCAGUGGUAGGGAAGAAAAUUGGAAGAGGAAGUUGCUGAGAAAGAGGGCGUUUCUUAGCAGUGGAGCCAAUAUGUAUUUCUUUGUUUGAAAUUCUAAAACCAGAAAAGCAGCAACUGAAGGAGGAAGGAAGGAAAGAACUCUGAAACUCCUCUUCCCGUUGAAAUACCUUUAGACUGUCCCUGUUACUGUCCCGUCUGAGGCUCUGCUUUCAUGGAAAAAGUCAAUUGUAAUUUGUUCAAUGUUCAGAAGUUGUAUUCUAGAAUGAAAGAAUUUUAAAUCUUAAACCGUCUGAUUUAAUGAAAAAAAAUCAGAACACCUUACUGAAUACGUUACUUAUCAGUAGAUGAUUCUUUUUCUCAACAUAAUUACCAGUUGUGGUCUUUGGGUUUCUUUUUUUAAAAAACUGAUUUAAAUUAGUGAAUUGCAGGAGUUCCCCUGUGGCUCAGCUGUAAUGAACCUGACUAGUAUCCACGAGGACGCAGGUUCAAUCCCUGGCCUCUCUCAGUGGGUUAAGGAUCCAAUGUUGCCGUGAGCUGUGGUGUAGGUUGCAGACGCGACUCCGAUCCCAUGUUGCUGUGGCUGUGGUGUGGGUCAGCAGCUACAGCUCCAAUUCAACCCCUAGCCUGAACUUCCAUAUGCCUUGGGUGAGGCCAUAAAAAGGCAACAACAACAAAAUGAGUGGAUUUCAACCUAAGAGGAAUUGAUCUAGGUAUUGGAUGAUGCAGAUAUCACCAUCACUUGAAAAACAUGUAAUGGUGUGUUCGGUUUUUGACAUUUGUUAGAAGUCUUUAUAAUGCUUUAUUUUUAUGGGAUUGUCUGUGUUAAUAGUUAAGACAUUGAAUUUAUUGCUUGUGAAAAUCUACCCAUUCAGUCUCUGUAUUAGUUAUAUUUUCUGUAUAAGAUUUAAUCUUAAUUACUG